rnacentral:rRNA from 1 species
GAUGAACGCUGGCGGCGUGCCUAAUACAUGCAAGUCGAGCGAAUGGAUUAAGAGCUUGCUCUUAUGAAGUUAGCGGCGGACGGGUGAGUAACACGUAGGUAACCUGCCCAUAAGACUGGGAUAACUCCGGGAAACCGGGGCUAAUACCGGAUAACAUUUUGAACCGCAUGGUUCGAAAUUGAAAGGCGGCUUCGGCUGUCACUUAUGGAUGGACCCGCGUCGCAUUAGCUAGUUGGUGAGGUAACGGCUCACCAAGGCAACGAUGCGUAGCCGACCUGAGGGGGUGAUCGGCCACACUGGGACUGAGACACGGCCCAGACUCCUACGGGAGGCAGCAGUAGGGAAUCUUCCGCAAUGGACGAAAGUCUGACGGAGCAACGCCGCGUGAGUGAUGAAGGCUUUCGGGUCGUAAAACUCUGUUGUUAGGGAAGAACAAGUGCUAGUUGAAUAAGCUGGCACCUUGACGGUACCUAACCAGAAAGCCACGGCUAACUACGUGCCAGCCGCCGCCGUAAA